rnacentral:rRNA from 1 species
CACGUAGGGCGCGAGCGUUUGUCCGGAAUUAUUGGGCGUAAAGAGCUCGUAGGUGGUUUGUCGCGUUGUUCGUGAAAACCUGAGGCUUAACCUUGGGCGUGCGGGCGAUACGGGCAGACUGGAGUACUGCAGGGGAGACUGGAAUUCCUGGUGUAGCGGUGGAAUGCGCAGAUAUCAGGAGGAACACCGGUGGCGAAGGCGGCGCUCUGGACCGAGACUGACGCUGAGGCGCGAAAGCGUGGGGAGCAAACAGG